rnacentral:rRNA from 1 species
UACGUAGGGUGCAAGCGUUGUCCGGAAUUAUUGGGCGUAAAGAGCGUGUAGGCGGCCCGAUUAGUCCGCUGUGAAAGUCCAGGGCUCAACCCUGGAAUGCCGGUGGAUACUGUCAGGCUAGAGUGCAGAAGGGGCAAUCGGAAUUCUUGGUGUAGCGGUGAAAUGCGUAGAUAUCAAGAGGAACACCUGAGGUGAAGACGGGUUGCUGGGCUGACACUGACGCUGAGGCGCGAAAGCCAGGGGAGCAAACGGG